rnacentral:rRNA from 1 species
UACGUAGGGGGCGAGCGUUGUCCGGAUUUAUUGGGCGUAAAGAGCUCGUAGGCGGCUUGGCAAGUCGGGUGUGAAACCUCCAGGCUUAACCUGGAGACGCCACUCGAUACUGCCAUGGCUAGAGUCCGGUAGGGGACCACGGAAUUCCUGGUGUAGCGGUGAAAUGCGCAGAUAUCAGGAGGAACACCGGUGGCGAAGGCGGGUCUCUGGGCCAUUACUGACGCUGAGGAGCGAAAGCGUGGGGAGCGAACAGG